UUCGUCAUACUGUGGUUUCACUCCAUCUGUCAUUUGUACCAAUUGUAGAUAUUGUCCAUAACAAGUCUUCAUGUUUACAUUCUUGCCAGUGGUGCUGAUACUUUUUUUUAUCACAACUGCUUGUUUCAGCUGUUCCAAGUAUUGAAGCAUUACUUAUGCAAGUACUUAGAGAGGGCUGCCCAUUACAAAAGAAGAGCUCAUCACGAUGCUGUGAUGGUAUGUUUGCAAAACUGGAAAAAAUUCUGUGCUAUGGUGGCCUUAAGUAUGUGCUCAACAUUUUGAAAAAUGUGAACAGCAAAAACAGUUGUCACUAUGCAGUGUGUUUGGACAACAGAAGCAUUCUUGAAUCAGACUGCUUCAGUUUAUAUUGAAGAUGUAUUGCUUGUCAUGCCCUGUGACCAACUUCACAGGACUAUGUUGUAAGUUAGUAUCACUUU